rnacentral:rRNA from 1 species
UGGGGAAUUUUGGACAAUGGGCGCAAGCCUGAUCCAGCCAUGCCGCGUGCAGGAUGAAGGCCUUCGGGUUGUAAACUGCUUUUGUACGGAACGAAAAGGUGCCUUCUAAUAAAGGGCGCUCAUGACGGUACCGUAAGAAUAAGCACCGGCUAACUACGUGCCAGCAGCCGCGGUAAUACGUAGGGUGCGAGCGUUAAUCGGAAUUACUGGGCGUAAAGCGUGCGCAGGCGGUUUUGUAAGACAGAGGUGAAAUCCCCGGGCUCAACCUGGGAACUGCCUUUGUGACUGCAAGGCUGGAGUGCGGCAGAGGGUGAUGGAAUUCCUCGUGUAGCAGUGAAAUGCGUAGAGAUGUGGAGGAAUACCGAUGGCGAAGGCAGCCCCCUGGGAUGAUACUGACGCUCAUGCACGAAAGCGUGGGGAGCAAACA